ACCCUUUGUUUGGCGGAGAAACCAGUGGCUUCUGAAGAUCAGGGACGGGCCACAAGUGCGAGGCAUUGCAGACAUUUCGAACCCAGACUUCCAGCCUGGAGACAUCCACACGCUUCCAGUUUCUUGCACUGUAAAUCCUGCUGCUGCUCACUCUUUGGGUCUGCACUGCCUUUAUGAGCUGUAACACUCACCGGAAGGUCUGCAGCUUCACUCCUGAAGCCAGCGAGACCAUGAACCCACCGGGAGAAGAGAACAGUGCUGUCUUUAUGAGCUGUAACACUGUAACACUCACUGCAAAGGUCGAAGGUCUGCGGCUUCACUCCUGAAGUCAGCGAGAACAUGAACCCACCAGAAGGAAGAAACUCCGGAUACACCUGAACAUCAGAAAGAAUAAACUCCGGACACACCAUCUUUAAAAACUGUAACACUCACCGCG
rnacentral:lncRNA from 1 species